UACAGGGUGACAGCCCCGUACACAAAAAUGCACAUGCUGUGAGCUCGAUGAGUAGGGCGGGACACGUGGUAUCCUGUCUGAAUAUGGGGGGACCAUCCUCCAAGGCUAAAUACUCCUGACUGACCGAUAGUGAACCAGUACCGUGAGGGAAAGGCGAAAAGAACCCCGGCGAGGGGAGUGAAAAAGAACCUGAAACCGUGUACGUACAAGCAGUGGGAGCACGCUUAGGCGUGUGACUGCGUACCUUUUGUAUAAUGGGUCAGCGACUUAUAUUCUGUAGCAAGGUUAACCGAAUAGGGGAGCCGAAGGGAAACCGAGUCUUAACUGGGCGUUAAGUUGCAGGGUAUAGACCCGAAACCCGGUGAUCUAGCCAUGGGCAGGUUGAAGGUUGGGUAACACUAACUGGAGGACCGAACCGACUAAUGUUGAAAAAUUAGCGGAUGACUUGUGGCUGGGGGUGAAAGGCCAAUCAAACCGGGAGAUAGCUGGUUCUCCCCGAAAGCUAUUUAGGUAGCGCCUCGUGAAUUCAUCUCCGGGGGUAGAGCACUGUUUCGGCAAGGGGGUCAUCCCGACUUACCAACCCGAUGCAAACUGCGAAUACCGGAGAAUGUUAUCACGGGAGACACACGGCGGGUGCUAACGUCCGUCGUGAAGAGGGAAACAACCCAGACCGCCAGCUAAGGUCCCAAAGUCAUGGUUAAGUGGGAAACGAUGUGGGAAGGCCCAGACAGCCAGGAUGUUGGCUUAGAAGCAGCCAUCAUUUAAAGAAAGCGUAAUAGCUCACUGGUCGAGUCGGCCUGCGCGGAAGAUGUAACGGGGCUAAACCAUGCAC
rnacentral:rRNA from 1 species